CUGUUUUUCUGGUUUAGGUACUACAAGUGGAUACUGGAGCGCAACUUCCGUGAUUUAAAUAAAGGGGUGCGCGGUAAUCAGGUUUCACUUUUAAACAUCGUGGUGGAGUUGAAGAAAUGCUGCAAUCAUCCUUUCUUAUUUGAGAGUGCAGACCAUGGAUAUGGGGGUGAUAUAAACGAUAACUCUAAGCUGGAUAAAAUUAUUCUAAGCAGCGGAAAGCUAGUUAUCCUAGACAAGCUACUGGUUAGACUGCGUGAGACUAAGCAUCGUGUGCUCAUCUUCUCUCAGUUCCACUAUUCUCCUGCUGCUCCCUUGUUAGACUGUGUUAUACUGCACCUUGUGCUUAUCUUCCCGCAAUUGUGGUUCAGUGACAUUUACUCU